GUCCGUAUGGUCUAGUGGUAUGACAUUCGCCUUACAGUUUCUCUGUGAACUGGUUCCGCGACAGGUCCCAGGUUCGAUCCCUGGUGUGGACA